rnacentral:misc_RNA from 1 species
AACCAUAGAAACCUGCGGAGUACCUGCGGAAGGAUCAUUACCGAGUUUACAAACUCCCAACCCUAUGUGAACCUUACCAAUCGUUGCUUCGGCGGGCUUAGCCCCCGCGCCCUCGCCGGCGCCGGGAGAAAGGCGCCCGCCGGGGACCCCAAACCCAAUGUUUUUCAUGCAGUAUUUCUGAGUGGCAAACGCAAAAAUAAAUCAAAACUUUUAGCAAUGGAUCUCAGAUCGGAAGAGCAC